rnacentral:rRNA from 1 species
GACGAACGCUGGCGGCGUGCUUAACACAUGCAAGUCGAACGGAAAGGCCCUGCUUUUGUGGGGUGCUCGAGUAGCGAACGGGUGAGUAACACGUGAGUAACCUGCCCUUGACUUUGGGAUAACUUCAGGAAACUGGGGCUAAUACCGGAUAGGAGCUCCUGAUGCAUGGUGGGGGUUGGAAAGUUUCGGCUGUUGGGGAUGGACUCGCGGCUUAUCAGCUGUUUGGUGUGGUAGUGGCUUACCAAGGCUUUGACGGGUAGCCGGCCUGAGAGGGUGACCGGCCACCUUGGGACUGCGAUACGGCCCAGACUCCUACGGGAGGCAGCAGUGGGGAAUAUUGCACAAUGGGCGGAAGCCUGAUGCAGAAACGCCGCGUGCGGGAUGACGGCCUUCGGGUUGUAAACCGCUUUCGCCUGUGACGAAGCGUGAGUGACGGUAAUGGGUAAAGAAGCACCGGCUAACUACGUG